GUGAUGAAAGUGCGGCUGUGAAUGUGGCGCUGAGUUCGCCCCGCCCACGUGUUCCUGUGUCAGUGUAAGGAGAGCAGAGUGUGGCUGUGUUGGACCUGUGAGUAUGGAGUGAGGGGUUACAGGCCUUGCUCAUGCUGUGUGAGUGCAGGCUCCCUCCCUGCCAGGGGACAUUUUAUGGAAAUAUAAUAUAAUAUUAUUUAAUAUAAUAUAAUGUAAUGCAGGGUAGACAGUAAAUGGCACAAUUCUCAAAGAAUGAAUAUUGACUGGUAUAGAAGGUCAUUCAUUGUAUCUGGGAAUAUUUCAUUCAGUUCAUUCCAUGUAGUAACUAGCUGAUGCACAUACCAGGAUCAAGGGAGAUCUAUAGAAUUUUGAUGAUUUUUUAAAAUUGUAUUUAAUUGGAAGGCAGAUUUGGAAAUCAAAUUUUAUUCAUCUGCUAAGCAUUUAAUGCCCAUUGUUACUUUUAUAUAAAGUAUUCGUGUGAUACAUGUGUAGAAUUUCCAUGCUGUAGUAUUUUGUAACAGUGUGUGAAACACUAAUGACCUUGGUAUUUUUUUGUUGUUGUUGUUUGUUUGUUUUCAAGGUCAUAACAACCUAGCUGAUUCACCAUAAAGACAAUUACUUUUCUUUGUUGAGAGGUUAGAAUAUUAUCCACCUUUUACUAUCGGUUACUGCUAUCUUAUUUAUGUGAGAUAGAUGCUUGCAGGAAACGCUACCAAAAAAACCCCGAAACAACUGCAGUGAGAUCGUAUGAGAGUUUUACCACUGGAUGAGUUGAUGACUUUUGUGUCUUUCAUUGAAUGAUUCCCCCCAAAAAAUAUAUAGGCUUAUUUUAAAUUUAAUUUUUUAUUUAUAAAGUGAACCUGUCAUUUAAAAGUGGGGUGUUGUCAAGUAACUUUGAGGCAAAGUCACAGCAUCCGCAGUCACUCUAGAGAUGGUAGUGUUUAUUACUAUGCCAGGUUUCUAGAUGAGCAGGAUUAAACACAUUUUUGGAUGAAAUAUAAUAAAUGUGUUUUAUGUCUCACAUUUCUAUGUCUGUGUGUCUCACGUGUGUAUGAGACCUGUUCCCACUAAUGUGCACAGAGAGGCAGGAAUAGUGCAGCAAAUAGUGAUGUCACUCGCCCCAUACACUAUCUUCAAAAUGGAUGCAUCAGUCAUACUCUGAGAAUCAUUGCUGCUAGCUAAUUGGACUUCAAGCCGCGUCCAGAAAUGGAUGCUGACUAAAUGUUUCACUGGAACUGGUGGGCUAGCAAUCUAGAAACUGUAGGUUUGGCAACUGCAAAACUUAUUGUUUAAAGAGCUUCCAGAUAUUUGCUGUGGGUCACUUCCAAUGACCUCUAUAGUGAAGGGGUGGGGUGCUCAAUUAAUGUAGGACCCACCGAUAUUGGGGUACUGUGAUGUAGUGGUGGACUUAAAACGAUAUGGCCAUAUGGUGUAACUGAAUCCCCAUAUUUGUUUAAGAUAGUUAAUCAAUGUAGUUCAGGUGGGCACACAUUAUCAAUGUGGCUGAGAUCAGGGUGAGCCAUGGGUGCAGAGAAGAGCCCCAUUGACUGCCUUGUGUGCUUGAUGUAAUGGCUUUCUACAAGUAGAAUGAUGAAACUUAAAACAUUUCAAAGUUACAUCAAGUCAUAUUGGGCAUGAGCAGGGGUACGUUAAGUAGAUGUGUGUGUGUGUGUGUGUGUGUGUGUGUCCAGUGGUCAUAUAUUGAUACCGUUUGGAACUGUUGUGUGAUAUCAACUCGACUGUGCAAAAAGUUCUGAUAUAUGGGCAGGGCUUCCCAUAAAAAAAAGCAAUGGAAGAUCCAGGAUAGGCUGCCAUGGUCUUCCUGCCAGUCCUCAUUAACCACUGAUGUUUCUGCUGCCAGGAGCCCACGUCAGAGUUGUACUGUUGCGCAUGUGCGAGAAUACAACACUGAGGAGACCGCGGGAUCCUGAAUAGACAAUGCCCUUUUCCAUAAUAAAUAACAAAACUUUAGGGCAGUAGUUCUGUCUUUUGUUGGGCUUUGCCAAGCUUAGGAUAUAUAUUAAAACAAAGUAGUCUCUACGUUGUCAUAUUUUAUGAAUGAGUUGUCAUUUGAGCAAUAUCCCAUCACAGUCAAUGUAACUAUUUCAUAAGGAGGGGUAAUGGGGGUGGUGACAAAGCCAUUUUACGGCUAGAGAAGCUGAAUGGAAAGCAUAGCUGAUUUAGAGAAUUUGUCCAGUUUGGCUGUUCUCACCUUAGAUUUGAAAUUUCAUUUAAAUCUACCUUGAAUUUGCAGUUUAAUAAAUUACCUUAUUAGAGAAUCUAAUAAUGUGCCUCAUUUAGUGUGAGUGAGUAAUGUUAAGCUGUAUCUGGUGCCGAAGGUUUAAAUGUGUGUGGUUUAUUUACAGGUCCUUGCCUGAAAUCCAAGAUAAAUUAUGGCAGCCCAAGCCACUGAAGCUGAUCAGAUCAAACAGGUUAGUUCUUAAUAGCCCAUUAUGAUUUUAGAGUAGUAUUGUGCUUUUGUAGUAAUCUGAACGAUAAAGUUGAGCACUUUUGAAUUAUAAACCAAGCUCCCGUGUAUGCAAUACAGUAUUUACAAUAUACCCCUGUGUGAGGCAGGGCUGACCUUGCUAUUGUGGAGCUACUUCUCUCAGUAUGCAUUAGCUCCCUUUUCUUUGGCAAAGCAUCAUGGUAGUUGUGGUUCUGCAACAUGUAGAGAAGCUACGUUGGGGCAACUUACUGUCCCAGUGGCAAAGUGGAAUGUUCCUCUAACCAAUUAGUAUCUAGUCCAGAAUAGUGUUUAUUCUGACUCUGAAGAUGGAUACGGUAACAUUUCCAUUGAAGGGUCAGUCUGUGCUUUGUUUACCAGUCAUUGUUAUUGCAGAGGUAUUGCUUUAAAAGAACACUAACAUUAGAAAUACACUUCGAACACUAGUGCUCCUGUGCAUCUUAACCCCUUAAGGACCAAACUUCUGGAAUAAAAUGGAAUCAUGACAUGUCACACAUGUCACGUGUCCUUAAGGGGUUAAAGGAACACAAAUUUACUUUAGAGGCAAUUCAUAAAAUUUACACCAGCACCCCAAACCUGAUCCAGAUGAGCUUUAAAUUGGAGCUCAUUUGAACCACGUAUUCCCAAAUUAUUGCUAGAUUUGUUACUUAAUAAGUCUUUCCAAAGACAUUAACCAAGAGGGACGUGGCGAUAUAAUUGGAGUCCAAUAUAUGACCUAUGCCCGAGGGGUACCAGCUAAAUAUUUCCCCUGUUCUCUCCUGUCUAUAGGGGGAUUAUUAUGGCCCACAAUCAGAAAAGUCUUCUGGGUAUAUUAAUGCCAGCCCCACAUUAAUAUCUUUAAUGAUGCCAUAUUGUGGUAUAUCCCUGGAAUAUUGCCAAAUCUCUCACAGGAAUGCACAGUCAGUGUCACUAAUAAAAUGACUCAGUCUCCCACUCCACCCCCCCUAAAUAUGUUAGUGUGUGUGUGUGUGUGUGUGUGUGGGGGGGGGGGGGUCCUGUUAAUUUUUACUUGCUUCAUUAAUUGUUGGUAAAAUGGCUGACCUGAAAAUGCCUUUACAGCAGAUAAUUUCUACCUCUAUUAGUAAGGCAAUUGUGAUUGCCAUUUGGCAUCAGCACCUUCAGUUUUUUUCUUAAUCCUUCUUCAUGUACACCCAAGUUGUCAGCUGUGUCUUUCCCUGCUGUCACAUCUGCCUACUUAUAAGUUGUUGAAUGUAAUCUUCAGGUCCCUUUCAUCUCCCGUGUCAUCCAUAGCAUUCCACUCAAAGUCUAUGCAGUCAUAGCGUUUUGUGUCCUAAAUCCAUAAUUUUGCAUACCUUAAUAUUACAUUUUAGAUCUUACAUGCUUAACUAUUCCUCUAAUUAACUGUCUGCUGUGUCUACAGUUCAAAGAAUUUCUUGGAACGUACAAUAAACUCACAGAGAACUGCUUUCUGGACUGUGUGAAGGAUUUCACAACACGAGAAGUCAAACCGGAUGAGGUAAACUAUGUUACCUAUCAUGGGUUUCUUUGAUUUGUUUUCUGUUUAAUGUGCUGCUUUCACCACUGGCAUGGUCAUUUUUAAAGGGGCAGUGUAGUGUAGAGACUUUGUUGGUAAUACUUUGAAUGGCAUCUCCUGGAUAUUUGUUAAAUUGUUGUGUGUGUGUGUGUGUGUUUUAUAUCUUUGAAAUGUACAGCAGGAAAGUUUGUAUAUAUAAUUUUAUUAUUUAUUACUUAUAGAUUACCUGCUCUGAGCACUGCCUGCAGAAGUAUUUAAAAAUGACACAGAGGAUAUCUAUGAGAUUCCAGGAAUACCACAUACAACAGAAUGAAGCCUUGGCUGCCAAAGCUGGUCUCAUCGGUCAGCCACGGUAAUGAAGAAUUGAGUGUGCUCCACAAGCUUCUACAGGUUCUUCAAAGGUUCUGCAUUGCAAACCAAACAUGUACCUGUGUUGUGGGGAGAUCCACCCCUCUAGUGGGAACUAAGAUACGUGCUGCCAGAACAAGGCAUAUCAUGAGGAUUCACAUAUUAUGUUGAAGAGAACAAUAAUGGAUUGGUCAUCACAGAAAAACAUUCACUCAGAGGUCAGAAUGACACGCAACACACGUCUUCUCUGGGUCUUGAAACCUACCUUAUAAAACUUUGGUUCUGAGAAUUCUCUAAUCCAAUGUCAAUAGACAAGAGUGGUGGAGACUGCAAAAUUCCGUAACUGUUAACGCUGAAGACAGUCAUCAAAGAAGCCGCUUGUCUCCAAAACCAGGAAAGUCAACAGAUUUCUAACUAACUUCUUAAUCUUAUAAGAGCAAAUGCGUGACCAUAGGUACUUCUCUUUAUCUUGCAGUAAUUGUUUGACAUCCAGUACAGCCAAUGGGAUUUUUUUUUUUAAAUCACUCAAAUAUCCUGCUGUAAGUGCUCUAAUCACUGUUAAACUAAUAAAUAGAGAGUUUUAUUAAAAAGCGAGUAUUGUGAGUAAAGCUCUUGAAGGAUAGCCCACAUACAAUUUUGAACCAGAACAGGGCACACAAUCUUGCCAUAGCAAUAAAUACGAAUACCUUAAACUGGGAAUUAAUGAAUGAAGGGCAAGUUGUAAACCACAGUAGCCAAACUGGAAAAAUCUUGACAACUGCAUUUUUAAAUGGAUCCUAAAGUCCUGAAAAACAAAACUAUUCCCACAGUCUUUGUGUUUAGAAAUUAAAGUACACUAAAUAUUACAUUGUUUCUGCCUCUGGGAUGCCUCCAGCAUGGCUAUUGAUGUCUACGCAAUCUCCUCCAAAUCCAUUGCUUUCAAUAGAGGAAUGCAUGCGCGCAGCCUAGCGCUGUGCUCUUCCUUUAUUCAAAGACAGAGUUCUAGUCUGUCAGUGCAGAGAUUGCUCCUCUAGUGGCAGUCAGUAUGACCUUUUACUAGAAGUGGAUUUAACCCUGCAAUGUAAACAUUGUAGUUUCUACAAAACAGAAAAUGUAUAUAUUGCAGGAUUAAAAGUAAAGGACCACUGUACCCAGACCACUUCAUUGAGAUAAAGUGGUCUGGGUGCCUAUGAAGUUCCUUUAAUAUCCAUAAUAGUUUGUAGCCAUCAAUAAGUAAAAGGUUAUACAAAUUUGAAACCACAGCAUUUGUUUUCAGCUUCUGUAGCGAGAUCUCAGAGUAUGAAGUGAAUCAGCCAAUGUAUGAUGUUCACUUGACUUUAUGUAGCACUGCUGAGCUUAUCUCAUAAUCUGCGCUUUGUGGGAACAGUGCAUUUCAGAGAGUUGUAGUUCUAUUGUAGAAAACUAGCACUUAGUCCUAAGGGACAGAUCAGUCAGGGAAUCAAAGGCAAAGCGCUAAGUCUGCCAUUUCCUACUGCUCUUGUAGCCAUUGGGUAGAAACAAUCUGGGCAGAUAGUCAACUGGAGACAGAAAUAGGACAAAUGAAAUCACGAUGAAAAAGAGAGAGAUGAAGGCGAUAACAUCAAAGGUGUGGAAAUAGCAAUUGAUGAAUCAUGUAGGGUGCAUAGAAAAUCAGGUGUGUGAAAAAUCGCAAUGUUAUAUAAAUUAGUUAUAGAGGGUCUCUCAGUUCAGCUACUCUGACUGUAAAUUUGAAAUUCACUUUAAUAACAAUGUAAAAGAAAAAUAAUUACAAUUAAAUCUCCACUGCACAAACCCUGUCUUUACAUUUAUCUGACAAGUCAUUGGUUACACUGCAAUAAAAAUAAUUCUACCCACUCACUUUAUUCCCCCCCCCCUCUCUUUCAGUGAUAUUUGAGUGCUAGUUAGAUUAUUGUUAAUUGUUGCUGUAUAAUGCAAGCCAUAAAAUACAUGUGAUUGUUCGUUUGCAAUAAAUUUGAGUGUCUAUGUCCUCCUUAGCCGGACUAUGGCUGCGAUUCUGGUCCUCGCUUUGUAUCUCCCAUAAACUGCUGGUUUCCUUUCUCUCAUGCGAGCAAUAAUUCUAGAAUUAUUUAAAUGAACAAGAAAACUAGGUCUAUUGCACGUUUUCGUGGCAGAUCCCUAUAUAAUAAUUGGAGAGAGAUUGUUUCCCUAUAACACCAGGCACGUCACAUGCUGCAUUAUUAAAUAAACUUGCAUUUCAGAUCUUGUGGUUACAUUCUAAUUUGCUUAUGUGAGUAUGUCCUGGGUCCACAAAUCAUUGCAUUGUUACAUUAGGG